rnacentral:lncRNA from 1 species
CAUUUCCAAUUAAUAAAUAUUAGUUACAUUAUAUAUAUACUGAUUACACACAUCUUACCAACUCAAGCUACGUUACAUAGCUAUUGUUUAAUUGGAUUCAUGUUGGAAUGUACCAGUUUCAUAUCACAAAGAAAAACGGCCUACAAUGAAUUCGAGUGAUAUUUACCUUCAUGCAGUUAACUCUUCCUCCAUUGCUUGCAAUGGAAGUAAUGUCAGUGUUGGUCUUGCGAGUGACUGGGAAUGCAGCGGAUGACUUCAAGCCUGUGAAUGGAGCAACCAUGGCCGCUUGAGCCGGUGAGCUAACCACGGUGGCAGAGGAGAGCAUAGAGGAAGCCAUUACGUACUAGUUCUUCUCUUCUUCUUCUUCUU